GGGGAUGUAAUGGCUUCGACAUGUUGGAGGUUUUCUUAACAUCAGUAGUUUGGCAAACUAUAAUGCUUCUAGGCUUUAGAAUCGCAGAAGAUAAAAAAGCAGUUGAAUCUAAAAUUCAACCAUUAUUAGUUGCUCAACAAGCAACUUUUUCAAAUCUUGCUUUUGCUUAGUUAAUAGCGGCAAGUGGUUUAUGAAUUUUAGCUCUAAGUUCAUAAAUUUGGUUAAGAGCGAAGUUUGAAGUUGAUUAAACUUUAUUACUAGUGGUUAUUGUUAUUUUUAGAAACUAGUAAUUAAUCAAAAAGUAACUAAACUGUAAAAAGUGUUAUUUAAGUUUCUUAUGUGGACACGGGUUCGACUCCCGUCAUCUCCACCA
rnacentral:tmRNA from 2 species